GCAGCGAGUUACAGAGCCGUGCUGAAGAACUUCAUAGGUCCUCAAGAAAAGAUGCAAAGCACUAUAUAGAGUUUUGGAAACAAAUUCCUCCAAAUGAGCCCUACCGUGUUAUUCUUGGCGAUGUACGAGAUAAGCUAUACAAUACACGUGAACGUGCUCGUCAUUUAUUAGCCAGUGGAACAUCUGACAUUCCCCAAGAUACAACUUUCACCGAUGUUGAGCAGUUCCUGGAACCUCUAGAACUUUGCUACAGGUCACUUUGUGCUUGUGGCGAUAGGCCAAUUGCUGACGGGAGCCUUCUUGAUUUCUUACGACAAGUUUCUACAUUUGGACUU
rnacentral:misc_RNA from 1 species